rnacentral:sRNA from 1 species
UUAUAGCCCGGAUUGCAGUGAAAAUCCUUUUUUGCGGCGGUCUGCGGCCGCCGCAAAAAAGAUUGUAACGGAAAGCUGGUAAAAUG